GAUGAAGAACGUAGCGAAAUGCGAUACUUGGUGUGAAUUGCAGAAUCCCGUGAACCAUCGAGUCUUUGAACGCAAGUUGCGCCCGAAGCCAUUAGGCCGAGGGCACGCCUGCCUGGGCGUCACACGUCGUUGCCCCCCCAUCUACUCCUUCGGGAUUGCGGGGGGCGGAUGAUGGCCUCUCGUGCGCCUCGUCGCGCGGUUGGCCUAAAUGCCAAGUCCUCGGCGACGCACGCCACGACAAUCGGUGGUUGCGAAAUCUCGGUUGCCUGUCGUGUGCGGUCGUCGCGCAUCGAGGGCUCGAAAAAAUUGCCGGGCUUCGGCUCGACUUUCAACGCGACCCCAGGUCAGGCGGGGUUACCCGCUGAAUUUAAGCAUAUCAAUAAGCGGAGGA
rnacentral:misc_RNA from 1 species